rnacentral:rRNA from 1 species
UAGGGAAUCUUCGGCAAUGGGGGGAACCCUGACCGAGCAACGCCGCGUGAGUGAAGAAGGUUUUCGGAUCGUAAAGCUCUGUUGUUAAGGAAGAACGAGUGUGAGAUUGGAAAGUUCAUACUGUGACGGUACUUAACCAGAAAGGGACGGCUAACUACGUGCCAGCAGCCGCGGUAAUACGUAGGUCCCGAGCGUUGUCCGGAUUUAUUGGGCGUAAAGCGAGCGCAGGCGGUUAGAUAAGUCUGAAGUUAAAGGCAGUGGCUCAACCAUUGUAGGCUUUGGAAACUGUUUAACUUGAGUGCAGAAGGGGAGAGUGGAAUUCCAUGUGUAGCGGUGAAAUGCGUAGAUAUAUGGAGGAACACCGGUGGCGAAAGCGGCUCUCUGGUCUGUAACUGACGCUGAGGCUCGAAAGCGUGGGGAGCGAACAGG